CUCCGGUUGAUCCUGCCGGACCCGACCGCUAUCGGGGUGGGGCUAAGCCAUGCGAGUCAGGGCCCCGGGCCACGGCGGGGCCCGGCGGACGGCUCAGUAGCACGUGGCUAACCUACCCUCGGGACGGGGAUAUCCCCGGGAAACUGGGGGUAAUCCCCGAUAGGUGCAGGCUGCUGGAAUGGGCCUGCGCCGAAAGGGGUGCGGCGCCACGCCCGCCGCGCCCGCCCGAGGAUGGGGCUGCGCCCCAUCACGGUAGUUGGCGGGGUAACGGCCCGCCAAGCCGAAGACGGGUGGGGGCCGUGAGAGCGGGAGCCCCGAGAUGGGCCCUGAGACAAGGGCCCAGGCCCUACGGGGCGCAGCAGGCGCGAAACCUCCGCAAUGCGGGAAACCGCGACGGGGUCACCCCGAGUGCCGCCCGAAGAGGGCGGCUUUUCCCCGGUGUAAGAAGCCGGGGGAAUAAGCGGGGGGCAAGUCUGGUGUCAGCCGCCGCGGUAAUACCAGCCCCGCGAGUGGUCGGGAUUUUUA
rnacentral:rRNA from 1 species